UACGUAGGGCGCAAGCGUUGUCCGGAAUUAUUGGGCGUAAAGAGCUCGUAGGCGGUUUGUCGCGUCUGCUGUGAAAACCUAAGGCUCAACCUUGGGCUUGCAGUGGGUACGGGCAGACUAGAGUGCGGUAGGGGUGACUGGAAUUCCUGGUGUAGCGGUGGAAUGCGCAGAUAUCAGGAGGAACACCGGUGGCGAAGGCGGAUCUCUGGGCCUUGCCUGACGCUGAGGCGCGAAAGCUAGGGGAGCGAACAGG
rnacentral:rRNA from 1 species